CAUCACCAAAAGAAAUGAAGACAGGACCCUGUUUUAGGAUUUGGAUUAAUAAUUCUGCCAUACCAAAGAGGCAAAUAUCCAUGCCUUUCAGCAUGACCUCACUAGUAGUGACAAUUAUCUCCAAGAGAUCCACUGUUGCAAUGGAGAACAAAUUGCCCAGACUACUGUCAGGAUCUGUUCUGCUAUGUUCUGAUGUCUGACUUGGCUUCUGGUAUCCAGUACUCUUUUUAUUCUUGC